GGGACAUUUUCAGGCUGUUUUGAUGACUGUGAAGAGCCAGGGCCGCCUGCUGACCGUCAGCCAGCUGGGUGGCGUCAGCAACUGGACCAAACCGAGUCUCGUCGUACUUGCGUGGGGGAGCGGGCAGAGGCAGCAGCCACGACGUCCGAUCGCGUGUCCCCGGUCAGAUAAGCAGGGAGUGCUCAGCGCGACACGCUGCUGCCCAGGGAGCAGCGCUGAGACUAGCAGGGUGCCGGACUGCCGCCGCAGUUUUCUCUUUAGCUGGUCAAAAUGUCCUUCUGUGAAAACAGGCUGUUAGAAAUAAGCAAAAGAAAGUACAUAAAUAGGUAA